AGUGUUGCAGAAGACCAGAGAAAACCAAGGACGCUUCAAAGAAGAGAAGGGACUCUGUUUAAUACACUGGUGGACUCAGGGAACAGCCUUCCAAAUCUGAGUGAAGAAACAGGCAUUGGAACUUUCCUUAUAUCUCCCUCCCUGUGGUCCUUGCCCC